rnacentral:snRNA from 1 species
GAACAUUCCUGAUCAUAUACUAAAAUUGGAACAAUACGAAGAAGAUUAGCAGGGCUUCUGCGCAAAGAUGACACGUAAAUUCGUGAGGCGUUCCAGAAGUUA